CCAGGGACAAAAUUAACCUACAAACCUGCAAGCCUUGGGAAUGCGGGAGGAGGCCGGAGGACCUGGAGAAAACCCACGUG